rnacentral:ncRNA from 1 species
GAGAACCGUGUUAAAAGAAUUUGGGAAAAUGCCCCAGUCACUUCAGGAGAAUGGGUGCCAGAAGGACCAGGGGAUAGCGACAGUUUAUCCAUGGGACUCUACCAAACAGUAACACAAUGUAUAGCAUCCAAAACAUGCCCAUUGCAUCAAGAAUGGAAGGAGAACUGUUACAAGCUUCACGUAGAAGCACCAGUAAAUGGCAACACAAAAUAUGAUUGUCCCAAGGUAUCAAAAUUCCUCAUUCCAUAUGUAGUGAUCUACCUAAAUGUUGUAACUACUGCCCCUUCUCUCUGACAUGGAC